UACGUAGGGGGCAAGCGUUGUCCGGAAUCAUUGGGCGUAAAGAGCGUGUAGGCGGCCCGGUAAGUCCGCCGUGAAAGUCCAGGGCUCAACCCUGGAAUGCCGGUGGAAACUGCCGGGCUGGAGUCCGGAAGAGGCGAGUGGAAUUCCUGGUGUAGCGGUGAAAUGCGCAGAUAUCAGGAGGAACACCGGUGGCGAAGGCGGGACUCUGGGCCGAUACUGACGCUGAGGAGCGAAAGCGUGGGGAGCGAACAGG
rnacentral:rRNA from 1 species